CCUACGGGUGGCAGCAGUAGGGAAUCUUUCACAAUGGGCGAAAGCCUGAUGGAGCAACGCCGCGUGCAGGAUGAAGGCCUUCGGGUUGUAAACUGCUUUUAUAAGCGAGAAAUAUGAUGGUAACUUAUGAAUAAGGAUCGGCUAACUACGUGCCAGCAGCCGCGGUCAUACGUAGGAGCCGAGCAUUAUCCGGAGUGACUGGGUGUAAAGAGUUGCGUAGGUGGCAUAAUAAGUAGCUAGGGAAAACUGGUGGGUCAACCAUUCAGACUAUUAGCUAAACUGUUGAGCUUGAGACCGUUAGGGGUAACUGGAAUUCCUAGUGUAGGAGUGAAAUGCGUAGAUAUUAGAAGGAACACCAAUAGCGUAGGCAGGUUACUGGGACGGUUCUGACACUAAGGCACGAAAGCGUAGGGAGCAAACGGGAUUAGAUACCCGAGUAGUC
rnacentral:rRNA from 1 species